UUCACAGGAGGGAAGCGGUAUCCGGAUUUACUGGGCACAAAGCGUCCGUAGGCGGUUUGACAAGUCUGGGGUUAAAGCCCGGAGCGCAACGCCGGAUCAGCCCUGGAAACUGUCAGACUUGAGCGAGGCAGGGGAUGCGGGAAUUCCCGGUGAAGCGGUGAAAUGCGUAGAUAUCGGGAGGAACACCAGCGGCGCCAGCGCGCAACUGGGCCAUUACUGACACUGUGGGGCUAAAGCUAUGUGAGCGACCGGG
rnacentral:rRNA from 1 species